rnacentral:sRNA from 1 species
CUGUGCUCUGGGUGGUGAGGCGAGCGUCUGCCCUCCGCAGCACUAACCCCCGUGUGCUAUGGGUCACGUCCUGCAGCUUUGACCCCCCUGGCCCCCUGUCAGCCGGAAUGUCCUGUGAAGUGCUUGUCACCUUCAAGCCGAUGAUAAACAAGGAUCUAGAAGGAAAUAUCUCAUUUUUGGCUCAGACGGGCGAGUUUUCAGUUCCACUGAAAUGUUCAACAAAGAAAUGUUCGAGCAGUCUCCUGACCUACGAAGAUAAAAGCUUGUAUGACAAAGCCGCCACCAGCUUCUCUGAGCAGCAGCUAGAGGGCACGGAGUCCUCCCAGGCGGACAUGCAGAGCCGGAAGGAGCUGGAGAAGCUGGACAAGGAGCAGGAGGAGGAGCAGCCCGCAGAACCAGAGAGAUUAACCACAGUGAUACCUCCCAGCGAAGAGCAGACGGAGAUCACGCUGGGGGAGGUAACAGAAGGGGAAAUUGGCCCCUUCAGCUCCAUCAAGGUGCCCAUCAUCUUCACUCCAGUCGUCCCAGGCGACGUCCAAGCCAGGUUCAA